rnacentral:rRNA from 1 species
AUUGAACGCUGGCGGCAGGCCUAACACAUGCAAGUCGAACGAGUGGCGGACGGGUGAGUAAUGUCUGGGAAACUGCCCGAUGGAGGGGGAUAACUACUGGAAACGGUAGCUAAUACCGCAUAACAUCGGAUGUGACCAGAUGGGAUUAGCUUGUAGGUGAGGUAACGGCUCACCUAGGCGACGAUCCAUAGCUGGUCUGAGAGGAUGACCAGCCACAAUGGCACGGAGACACGUUCCAGACUCCUACGUGAGGCAGCAGUGGGGAAUAUUGCACAAUGGGCGCAAGCCUGAUGCAGCCAUGCCGCGUGUAUGAAGAAGGCCUUCGGGUUGUAAAGUACUUUCAGCGGGGAGGCGUUACCCGCAGAAGAAGCACCGGCUAACUCCGUGCCAGCCGCCGCGGUAAUAC